rnacentral:rRNA from 1 species
CCUAAUACAUGCAAGUCGAACGAACUCUGGUAUUGAUUGGUGCUUGCAUCAUGAUUUACAUUUGAGUGAGUGGCGAACUGGUGAGUAACACGUGGGAAACCUGCCCAGAAGCGGGGGAUAACACCUGGAAACAGAUGCUAAUACCGCAUAACAACUUGGACCGCAUGGUCCGAGUUUGAAAGAUGGCUUCGGCUAUCACUUUUGGAUGGUCCCGCGGCGUAUUAGCUAGAUGGUGGGGUAACGGCUCACCAUGGCAAUGAUACGUAGCCGACCUGAGAGGGUAAUCGGCCACAUUGGGACUGAGACACGGCCCAAACUCCUACGGGAGGCAGCAGUAGGGAAUCUUCCACAAUGGACGAAAGUCUGAUGGAGCAACGCCGCGUGAGUGAAGAAGGGUUUCGGCUCGUAAAACUCUGUUGUUAAAGAAGAACAUAUCUGAGAGUAACUGUUCAGGUAUUGACGGUAUUUAACCAGAAAGCCACGGCUAACUACGUGCCAGCAGCCGCGGUAAUACGUAGGUGGCAAGCGUUGUCCGGAUUUAUUGGGCGUAAAGCGAGCGCAGGCGGUUUUUUAAGUCUGAUGUGAAAGCCUUCGGCUCAACCGAAGAAGUGCAUCGGAAACUGGGAAACUUGAGUGCAGAAGAGGACAGUGGAACUCCAUGUGUAGCGGUGAAAUGCGUAGAUAUAUGGAAGAACACCAGUGGCGAAGGCGGCUGUCUGGUCUGUAACUGACGCUGAGGCUCGAAAGUAUGGGUAGCAAACAGGAUUAGAUACCCUGGUAGUCCAUACCGUAAACGAUGAAUGCUAAGUGUUGGAGGGUUUCCGCCCUUCAGUGCUGCAGCUAACGCAUUAAGCAUUCCGCCUGGGGAGUACGGCCGCAAGGCUGAAACUCAAAGGAAUUGACGGGGGCCCGCACAAGCGGUGGAGCAUGUGGUUUAAUUCGAAGCUACGCGAAGAACCUUACCAGGUCUUGACAUACUAUGCAAAUCUAAGAGAUUAGACGUUCCCUUCGGGGACAUGGAUACAGGUGGUGCAUGGUUGUCGUCAGCUCGUGUCGUGAGAUGUUGGGUUAAGUCCCGCAACGAGCGCAACCCUUAUUAUCAGUUGCCAGCAUUAAGUUGGGCACUCUGGUGAGACUGCCGGUGACAAACCGGAGGAAGGUGGGGAUGACGUCAAAUCAUCAUGCCCCUUAUGACCUGGGCUACACACGUGCUACAAUGGAUGGUACAACGAGUUGCGAACUCGCGAGAGUAAGCUAAUCUCUUAAAGCCAUUCUCAGUUCGGAUUGUAGGCUGCAACUCGCCUACAUGAAGUCGGAAUCGCUAGUAAUCGCGGAUCAGCAUGCCGCGGUGAAUACGUUCCCGGGCCUUGUACACACCGCCCGUCACACCAUGAGAGUUUGUAACACCCAAAGUCGGUGGGGUAACCUUUUAGGAACCAGCCGCCU